rnacentral:pre_miRNA from 1 species
UCCCACGAUGGACAUAUUUUUCGUAGAGAAUCGUCCGUUUUAUUUGAAUUUUUUUUAUAAUUAAUUUUUUCGUUGUUAUGAAAUGAUAAAACAUGAAUAUUACUUUACUCGUGACUUAUGGUUUUUAAUUUUUUUCAAAAAAAAUCAAAUAAGAUGGAUGAUCAAAGUUGAACGUGAAAAACCACUGAAA